rnacentral:tRNA from 1 species
CCUUUCUAAGGAUGAUCAAGAAUAGGCUAAGGCCUUUUUUGAUCUGAUUAGACAAUGACGGUUUAAAGUCUUAUUUUUAAAAGUCUUAUUUAAACCGUUUACUAUUUAAACAUUCUAUGAACUAUGGGUUUUGAAUAGAAACUCUGUUUUUUAUCCAUGGUUUGUCUGUUUAAAAAUUUAUAAAAGACUAGCCGCCUUCAUUUCUCUUUCUUCAGAUGAUGAUCCUAAGCCUUCUGGUGAUCUGUUACGCAAGCCUCUGAGGGGGGAUGGAAGACGUUGUUUUCUUUGAUCAGAUUAUGCCGGUGCAGGUUUUCUGGUUUACCCCGUAGGGCUUGUAGCUCAGUUGGUUAGAGCGCGCGCUUGAUAAGCGUGAGGUCGGAGGUUCAAGUCCUCCCAGGCCCACCAAUCACACUAUGCUGAAAGCUCCUAUGAUUGAUCGCUUUUUGAAUAAGCCUUUAAAGGAAAUUUAUGAUCUUUUAUAAAACUUUUUCCCUUAUAAAACUUUCUUUAUGAAACUUUAUUGUCUCAGAGCAUUCAGAGAGAGUAUGAUAUAGCACUCAGAAUAUGAUAUAGAAAACAGAGUAUGAGAUUUAAAGAACGUCACCUCUGAAAUUGUUUUUUAUCAUUUUAAAAGUCUAAAAUAUUCUGUCUCUAUUUUUAAUUUUUAAAAAGCAUCAGAUGUUUUGUAAAAGUGCGUCGUUUUUUAUAGAGCAUAACGUGAAAGCAUUUUAAACUAUUUUAGGGGCCGUAGCUCAGCUGGGAGAGCACCUGCUUUGCAAGCAGGGGGUCGUCGGUUCGAUCCCGUCCGGCUCCACCAUACUAUGGUUCAUCAUCAUUGUUAGAAGAAUAGUUAUUGCAAGAGAUUAAUAGAUCUCUUUGCUUGUUCUAUUGAAAUUGUGAAGAAGAAGGUAUAUUCAGACAUUUUUUGCUUCAUCUCAUUUUUAUGAAAGGAUUUUUAAGAAUGGAUGGCUAAAAAAGAUAGUUAUUUUUAAAUUAAAAUGGCUAUUUUUAGGCUUUAAUUGGCGAUUGUUAACUUAAAUUAGCGAUUGUCAACAUUGUAGGGCGAUCGUUAAAACAGGGUGAUUAUUAAAACAUUGUAGCAUGCAAAGCAUUCUACAAUAAUUAUGAUCAUAUAAUAAUUAUAAUGUUAAAACAUUAUAGAAUAAUGAACAGGAUCUUUUCUGCAAUGGAGACGCCCUUUCAUUGAAGAAGGGUUUGAGGCAACGGAUGUGUCGCAGGAAGAGCUCAAAUUCCUUGCUUAUGAUUGGCAACUUAACCGUGCCAUUGAAUAUAUCUCGAGAAGUUGGUCUUUUCUGCUGAUAUUUUUGUUUUCAGUGCUUAUUGUUGAUGCUCUAUUUUUAAAAUAAAUUUUGUAUUGAUGAUUUUGCACGACAUAAUUGACGAAUGAAUAUUGGCAAUGAGAAUG